AUUGAACGCUGGCGGCAGGCCUAACACAUGCAAGUCGAACGAGUGGCGGAAGGGUGAGAAAUGUCCGGGAAACUGCUCGAUGGAGGGGGAUAACUACUGGAAACGGUAGCUAAUACAGCAUACCAUCGGAUGUGCACAGAUGGGAUUAGCUAGUAGGUGGGGGAACGGCGCACCUAGGCGACGAUCCCUAGCUGGUCUGAGAGGAUGACCAGCAACACUGGAACUGAGAAACGGUCCAGACUCCUACGUGAGGCAGCAGUGGGGAAUAUUGCACAAUGGGCGCAAGCCGGAUGCAGCCAUGCCGCGUUUAUGAAGAAGGCCUUCGGGUUGUAAAGUACUUUCGGCGAGGAGGCGUUACUCGCAGAAGAAGCACCGGCUAACUCCGUGCCAGCAGCCGCGGUAAUUC
rnacentral:rRNA from 1 species